CUUUUAGGUAAUUAAUAGAUUCUCUGAUAUAGUUUGCACUAUCUGGAAUGUGGCACACUUUCAAAUCCUCAAAUGUUUGUAAACUCACAACUUUCCCCUCCCUUUCCCUUCUAAAGACAUAAUCAAAUAUUGUAAAGUUUCAAGAAUUGGAGCAACACCCAUUGCAUGUUGCACAGCCAACAGAAAAAAAAAAAAAAAAAAAAAAAA
rnacentral:misc_RNA from 1 species